GCUGGGAUAGCUCAGUCAGUAGAGCAUGAAACUCUUAAUCACCAGGUCGUAGGUUCGAGCCCCACAUUGGGCA